rnacentral:rRNA from 1 species
UACAGAGGUCUCAAGCGUUGUUCGGAUUCAUUGGGCGUAAAGGGCGCGUAGGCGGCGGGGUAAGUCGGGUGUGAAAUCUCAGAGCUCAACUCUGAAACUGCACUCGAUACUGCUCUGCUUGAGGACUGGAGAGGAGACUGGAAUUCACGGUGCAGCAGUGAAAUGCGUAGAUAUCGUGAGGAAGACCAGUGGCGAAGGCGGGUCUCUGGACAGUUCCUGACGCUGAGGCUCGAAGGCUAGGGUAGCGAAAGGG